GGAGGUUCUGUCACAGAGCUUGUCAAAGGCCUGCUGAAGUGUGGCCAACGGUUGGAUGAAUCUAUAAUCUCAUACAUCUUAUGUGGUGCUCUCUUGGGCCUUCAGCAUUUACACAAUAACCGGAUCAUUCAUCGUGAUGUGAAAGGGAACAACAUUCUCCUGACAACAGAAGGUGGAGUCAAGCUCGUUGACUUUGGUGUUUCAGCCCAGCUCACCAGCACACGGCUGCGUAGAAACACCUCCGUGGGAACACCCUUUUGGAUGGCACCUGAGGUCAUUGCUUGUGAACAACAGUAUGACUACUCAUACGAUGCGCGAUGUGACGUAUGGUCCUUGGGAAUAACAGCUAUUGAACUGGGGGAUGGAGAUCCUCCUUUAUUUGACAUGCAUCCGGUGAAAACCCUUUUUAAGAUUCCAAGGAAUCCUCCUCCUACUUUGCUACAUCCUGAAAAAUGGUGCAGAGGAUUCAACCAUUUCAUUUCACAGUGUCUUAUCAAGGAUUUUGAAAAGCGUCCUUCAGUCACCCAUCUUUUGGAGCAUCCAUUUAUUAAACAAGUACAUGGUAAAGAUAUGUCUCUGCAAAAGCAGCUGGCUGAGCUAAUCCAAGAACAGCAGCAACUAGGCUCCAUAGCCAAAACAAGGCAUGAACGAAUACAUACUAGAAGACCUUACCAUGUGGAUGGAGCUGACAGGUACUCUCUAGAUGACGAUCUGGUAAAUCUGGAAGUUCUAGAUGAGGAUACAAUUAUCCAUCAGCUGCAGAAACGCUAUGCUGACUUACAAAUUUAUACUUAUGUUGGAGACAUUUUAAUAGCCUUAAACCCCUUCCAGAAUCUCAGCAUUUAUUCUCCCCAGUUCUCCAAGCUUUACCAUGGUGUGAAGCGUUCAUCAAAUCCCCCCCACAUAUUUGCCUCUGCAGAUGCUGCCUACCAAAGUAUGGUUACCUUCAGCAAAGAUCAGUGCAUUAUCAUCAGUGGGGAAAGUGGUGCUGGAAAGACAGAAAGUGCCCAUCUGAUUGUCCAACAUUUGACCUUCUUGGGAAAGGCCAAUAACCGUGCUUUGCGUGAGAAAAUUCUUCAGGUGAAUCCUCUGGUUGAAGCAUUUGGGAAUGCCUGCACUGCCAUCAAUGACAACUCAAGUCGCUUCGGAAAAUACCUGGAAAUGAUGUUUACACCUACAGGAGCUGUAAUGGGGGCAAAGAUUUCUGAAUAUCUACUUGAAAAAUCAAGGGUCAUAAAACAGGCUGUGGGAGAAAAAAAUUUCCAUAUAUUUUAUUAUAUUUAUGCUGGCCUUUAUCACCAGAGGAAACUUUCUGAAUAUAGACUUCCCGAUAAAAAGCCUCCUAGAUAUAUUGAUAAUGAAACUGGAAGAGUCAUGCAUGAUAUUGUUACUAAAGAUUCCUAUGGAAGACAGUUUGAAGCAAUUCAGCAUUGUUUUAGAAUUAUAGGAUUCACUGACGAGGAAGUGUACUCAGUGUACAGAAUUCUGACUGGAAUCUUAAAUACUGGAAAUAUUGAGUUUGCUGCCAUUUCUUCACAACACCAAACAGAUAAAAGUGAGGUUCCCAACCCAGAAGCCUUAGAUAAUGCUGCUGCACUACUAAGUAUUGGGUCAGAAGAACUUCAAGAGGCCCUAACCUCCCAUUGUGUUGUAACACGAGGGGAGACUAUUAUCCGAACAAACACAGUGGACAAAGCAGCUGACGUGCGAGAUGCCAUGUCUAAAGCACUUUAUGGCCGGCUCUUCAGCUGGAUCGUAAAUCGUAUUAAUACGCUGCUUCAGCCAGAUAAAAAUAUAUGCAAUGCUGAAAAUGGGAUGAAUGUUGGAAUACUAGACAUAUUUGGAUUUGAGAACUUCGCAAGAAAUUCCUUUGAACAGCUGUGCAUAAAUAUUGCUAAUGAACAGAUCCAGUUUUAUUUCAAUCAACAUAUCUUUGCACUUGAGCAGAUGGAAUAUCAGAGUGAGGGAAUUGAUGCUGCUACAGUGGAGUAUGAGGACAACCGUCCACUUCUAGAUAUGUUCCUCCAGAAACCCAUGGGUCUCCUGUCUCUACUAGAUGAAGAAAGUCGAUUUCCUCAGGCAACAGACCUAACUUUAGUUGAUAAAUUUGAAGAUAACUUACGAUGCAAAUACUUUUGGAGACCAAAAGGAGUAGAACUGUCAUUUGGUAUUCAGCACUAUGCUGGAAAGGUUUUAUAUGAUGCCUGUGCAUUCCUUGAGAAGAACAGAGACACUCUUCCUGCUGAUGUAGUAGUGGUGUUGCGAACCUCAGAGAACAAACUUCUUCAGCAGCUGUUCUCUAGCCCAUUAACAAAAACAGGUAACUUGGCACAAGCAAGAGCCAGAGUGACAGCAGCAUCUAGGUCUUUGCCUCUACAGCUUAGUACUGGGCGUAUCAAGUCUCCUAAAUAUCUCCUGAAGGUUGACACAAUGGAAGUUAUGCGACACCCUGAGGAAACAACUAACAUGAAGCGGCAAACUAUGGCUUCUUAUUUUAGGUAUUCCCUCAUGGAUCUUUUAUCCAAAAUGGUUGUUGGACAGCCUCACUUUAUCCGCUGCAUUAAACCUAAUGAUGAUCGAGAAGCACUGAUGUUUUCUCAUGAGAGAGUUCUACUGCAGCUACAAUACACUGGAAUUCUGGAAACUGUCAAAAUACGUCAAAAAGGGUAUUCUCAUCGCAUCCUCUUUGAAGAGUUUGUGAAAAGGUAUUAUUACCUUGCAUUCAAGGCACACGAGACUCCCCUUGGUAGCAGAGAAAAUUGCCUUGCCAUUUUGGAGAAAUCUAAACUAGACAACUGGAUUCUUGGGAAAACCAAGGUUUUUCUAAAGUAUUAUCAUAUAGAGCAGUUAAACUUGUUCCUGCGAGAAGUUAUAGGGAGGGUGGUGGUCAUGCAAGCCUAUAUCAAGGGAUGGCUUGGAGCAAGGAGGUACAAGAAAGUCAAAGAGAAAAGAGAAAAUAGUGCUGUUACCAUACAGUCAGCCUGGAGAGGAUAUGAAGCUCGCAGGAAGUACAAGGAAAUAAGGAACAGAAGAACUGAUGCUGCUAUACAUAUUCAAGCAGCUUUCAGGGGAUACAUUGUUCGUAAAAACUACACAAGAUUGAAAACCAGCACUGCCUGUGUAGCAGAUCCUCAACUAACGAGCAGUUGCUUUACUUCUGAUUUUGGCUGUGAAGAGCACUGGCAGCAAACCAGUAACCUGUCUUUUCCUGACGUGCCUGAUUUUCUUCGCAAACAAACAAAAAAGAAGGAUUUGGAUGAGAUUUCUGCUUCUCCAUUUAUUCGAAAACAUUCGUUGGAAAUGAAUGAUUCACAAUCAAUUAGCCAACCCCAGUCAGUUGCAGACCAUCAGUUGUCAAGUCCCUUGAGAUCCCAUCAAAAAGGAGGUUCAGAAAACUGUCUUGAACAGAAGCUGAGAACACCUCGUCGACGAUGUCAGCAGCCCAAAAUGCUGAAUAGCCCUGAGGACAACAUGUACUAUAACCAGUUAAACGGAACUCUAGAAUAUCAAGGGAGCAAGAGGAAGCCAAGAAAACUUGGCCAAAUCAAAGUGCUGGAUGGAGACGAUGAGUAUUACAAAUCAUUGUCAGCCAUUGAAUCUGUCCCUGAAGAUGACAGCUUUCUCAGUUCCCCAUCUUCUUCAAGAGGUGUGUCUUUUGCUCAAAGCUGAACCUCACUUACUCUAUUGACCAAUACUGGUAAGAGUAUUUUCAUGCUGGUAAUCUCUUCCAAUUAACUUUGUGUGUGUGUGUUUAUAUAUAUAUUAAAUAUAUAUUAAAAAUACAUCUAUUAAAAAUACAGUUUCAGCUAGUAACUUUCUUUCACUAAUUUAUACCUUACUUCGCAGCUGUAAAUUGUCCCGUUUAGCUGUAUCUCUAUAAGCAAUUCCACUAAAGGGGAGGAGCACUACCUGCAUGUGUUGAUGUUGGUAACGGACACAUUUCUUUAGCAGCCAGGUUAGUUUAUACAGUUCCGACCCCUUCUUCCCUGCUCCCCCUGCCCCUGGCUGCUGUUCCCACCCUGUGCCAUCCCUUCUGUUGUGCUGGCACAACUGCUGGUAGAGCUGUGUGAAAAAUAAGAUCAAGGAAUUGAACUGGAUUAAAAGAACUCUGUACUAAAAAUUUGUGUUUGGAAUCAUAGUAAAAAUGUUUUUUAUUUCAGUAGACUGGUAUUAAACAUUAUCCUUUGUAAGUUUCUGUGCUGUGUAUGGCUUUUAACACUACAAAAACAUACAGAGUAAAAUAAUCUGAAAUAAUAAUUGUGUCUCAAUUUACCUUGUCAGUAUUUUUCUUAUAAAGUAUUAGUUUGCCAUAAAUUUAACUUGAAG
ensembl:lncRNA